ensembl:snRNA U6 U6 spliceosomal RNA
UUGCUUGGGCAGCAUAUCUACUGAAAUUAGAACAAUAUAAAGAUUAGCAUGGAUCCUGUGCAAGAAUGAUAUGCAAAUUCAUGCAGCAUUGCAUACCUUU